rnacentral:rRNA from 1 species
GACGAAGGAUGCAAGCGUUAUCUGGAUUCAUUGGGUUUAAAGGGAGCGUAGGCGGCCUUAUAAGUCAGUGGUGAAAUCUCUCGGCUUAACCGAGAAAUUGCCAUUGAUACUGUAGGGCUUGAGUACAGUUGCCGUUGGCGGAAUAUGACAUGUAGUGGUGAAAUACAUAGAGAUGUCAUAGAACACCGAUUGCGAAGGCAGCUAACGAAGCUGUAACUGACGCUGAGGCUCGAAAGUGCGGGGAUCAAACAGG